AUAGAACGCUGGCGGCAUGCUUUACACAUGCAAGUCGAACGGUAACAGGCCGCAAGGUGCUGACGAGUGGCGAACGGGUGAGUAAUGCAUCGGAACGUGCCCAGUCGUGGGGGAUAACGCAGCGAAAGUUGCGCUAAUACCGCAUACGAUCUAUGGAUGAAAGCGGGGGACCGUAAGGCCUCGCGCGAUUGGAGCGGCCGAUGUCAGAUUAGGUAGUUGGUGGGGUAAAGGCUCACCAAGCCGGCGAUCUGUAGCUGGUCUGAGAGGACGAACAGCCACACUGGGACUGAGACACGGCCCAGACUCCUACGUGAGGCAGCAGUGGGGAAUUUUGGACAAUGGGCGCAAGCCUGAUCCAGCAAUGCCGCGUGCAGGAAGAAGGCCUUCGGGUUGUAAACUGCUUUUGUACGGAACGAAACGGUCCUGGUUAAUACCCGGGGCUAAUGACGGUACCGUAAGAAUAAGCACCGGCUAACUACGUGCCAGCCGCCGCGGUAACAC
rnacentral:rRNA from 1 species